UACGUAGGGUGCGAGCGUUAAUCGGAAUUACUGGGCGUAAAGCGUGCGUAGGCGGUUCGCCAAGUCAGGUGUGAAAUCCCCGGGCUUAACCUGGGAAUUGCGCUUGAAACUAGCGGGCUUGAGUGUGGCAGAGGGGGGUGGAAUUCCACGUGUAGCAGUGAAAUGCGUAGAGAUGUGGAGGAACACCGAUGGCGAAGGCAGCCCCCUGGGUCAACACUGACGCUCAUGUACGAAAGCGUGGGGAGCAAACAGG
rnacentral:rRNA from 1 species